rnacentral:tRNA from 1 species
GUGGGUAUAGCUCAGUGGUAUAGUGCAUGCUUAGCAUGAAAGAGAUCCUGGGUUCAAUCCCCAGUGCCUCCA